rnacentral:lncRNA from 1 species
UGCGGUGUGCCCAUUCUGCCUGGGCGUGAAUUGAUUGCAUGGAUUGAAGGCUAAAGUGCCGAAAAGAAAGACAUGCUGGGCCACCAUGUUUGAAGAGGACUGAUUUUAAGUUAGUUAAUUAGCUAGUAGUCCACUAGUUUGUUUUUGUGACUUUCAUACGCCACUUUAAUUUGACUAGUUGCCUAAUUAGACUUUUUUAGUUG